rnacentral:rRNA from 1 species
UGAACGCUGGCGGUAUGCUUAACACAUGCAAGUCGUACGAAGAUAAAAUUGUGCUUACACGAUUUUAUACUUAGUGGCGGACGGGUGAGUAACACGUAAGAAUCUACCUUUUGGCGAGGGACAACCACUGGAAACGGUGGCUAAUACCUCAUAUAACUGAGAAGUGAAAGAUGAAAAUCACCAAGAGAUGAGCUCGCGUCUGAUUAGCUAGUUGGUGUAGGUAAUGGCUCACCAAGGCAUCGAUCAGUAGCUGGUCUGAGAGGAUGAUCAGCCACACUGGGACUGAGACACGGCCCAGACUCCUACGGGAGGCAGCAGUGGGGAAUUUUCCGCAAUGGGCGAAAGCCUGACGGAGCAACGCCGCGUGAGGGAUGAAGGCCUCUGGGCUGUAAACCUCUUUUAUCAAGGAAGAAGAUCUGACGGUACUUGAUGAAUAAACCACGGCUA